AGUAAACCUGGUUUGUGUUGUUUUGUCCAUCAGAGAGAAGCUGGAGGACAACUUGGUGAACGCCAUGGAAACCAUGGACAGUGACCAGGGAACCGGCCAAUCAGCGAGCAGCAAACCCGGCCUGAUGUUUAAAAUCGCCUCAAAAAGAUAUCGGACGGUGGACGCGCUGCUGCAGCGGAUGUUCGAGGCCGAUCUCGACCCCGAAGACUUCGCUGAGAACGACGACGCCAACGGGAACUUUUCCAACCCGACGUUUGGCUCCGUGUGAACGUUAACGUAUAAAUCCACCUGAAGGGAAGCAGAUUCUGCCGUUUCUAUACAGUUUUAUACGCUCGUGUUUAAAUCUGAUGUUUAUCCAGUGUUAUAUUUUUAUAUUUCUGACCUGUCGCUCUGUGUAGAAACUCAUAAAGAAUAUUUACACGGUUUA